AAUUAUUCACUAAUUUCAAAUAGUUCUUAAAAUAUUAUUUUUGAAGGAAAUCAAUCUUUCACUAAAUAACAAUAUUCCAUUACCAAAUACAAUUUGUGAAUAAAAAAAUUAUUCACAAUAUAUCCUUCACAAAAAAUAUUUAGUUACUACUUAGCGAAGGAUACCCAAUUGCGAGGAGGUCUAAUGCGAACAAUUGUGUGAAGGAAAUAUUUAUUCGCAAUAAAUCUCUUGCGAGUGAUAUAGUAUGUCUUGUGAAGGAUUUGUCUUUCACUAGAGGCCAUUUUGGGUGUAGUGGAGGAAGGUAUUAUACUGUAAUAUUUUGAGCCCCAAAACGUGCAAUUAUCGAAAUAAUAUUUUCCUAUAAAUAGAAGUUCAUUCUUCCAUCAUUUCUCACUAAUUCACUAAGUCUCACAAGAGCAAUUAUUAUAGAGAAAUUAUAGAGAGAAAGAAGAAGAGAAGUCUGCUACCUCACUAUUCCAGUAUCCAGUUUUCUUCUGAGUUAAGGGGUAUUAUUUCUUUCGUAUUCAUGAAGAGAGCUUCUGUUAUUCCAUUCUUUAUUAUUAUGUUGGAAUAACAUGUCUAUGCGAUGUACCGCAUACAUGGUGAAAUUCUUCUGUUAUUCCAUUCUUUAUUAUUAUGUUGGAAUAACCUGUCUAUGCGAAGUACCGCAUAUAUGGUGAAAUUCUUCUGUUAUUCCAUACUUUAUUAUUCUGCUGGAAUAUCCUGUCUGUGCGGAUUACGCAUGACCUGGUUUCAUUCCUUAUUAUUCUGUUGGAAUAUCCUGUCUGUGCGUAUUACGCAUGGCCUGGUUCCAUUAUUUAUUAUUCUGUUGGAAUAAUCUGUCUGUGCGGUCUAUCGCAUGUCUGGUGAAUUCUACUCUUAUUCCAUUCUUUAUUAUUCUGUUGGAAUAACAUGUCUACGCGGACUACCGCAUGCAUGGUGAAUGACCCUUCGUAUUCAUUCUUUAUUAAAUUGUGGAAAUGAUCUAUCUACAUGGAUUACCGUAUGGCAGGCGAAAAUCCAUUUGCAGUUUCGUAUAUUCUAUUAUACUCGUAUGAGAUAUCAUUUCUUUUGUACUCGUCAUGGAAUAUCAUUUUCUUUGGUAUUUUUUUAUGAGUUACUAUUCACGGGUUACUAUUCACCCGAUUACUAUUCACUUUAGUAUUAUUCAUUCGGGUAUUCAGGGUAUUUUUCAUGUCGGAGUACUAUUCACGGGUUACUAUUUACCCGAAUAUUAUUCACUCGGGUAUUUUGAGUACUUUUUAUGUCGGGGUAGUAUUCACGAGGUACUAUUCCCGAAGUACUAUUCACAUAAUACUAUUCACGGGGUACAAUUUACCUAAAAAAUAUAUUUCUUUUCUGUCCAAAUUGUUUUUGGUACGUGAAUAUUAAUCUUGAAUUUUACUCCACAAAGCAGUAUCAUGUUGACAAUUUGGAUAUUUUUAAACUCUGGAUAAAUUUAAAGUCUUUAAUAUUUAUCCUUGAUUUCGUUUGCUUAAUGCUUAUAUCAUUGUCAUCAUCCUCAUGCUUAUAUUGUGAUGAAAGUCAUCUUUGGCUUACGUGCAUAGAUGGACUGUUGAUUAUUAGUUUUACAGUUGUAUAUUUUUGGCUUACGUGCAAAGAUGGACUGUUGAUUAUUGAUUUUAUAGUUGUAUAUCUUUGGCUUACGUGUAAAGAUGGACAUGUGUAUGACAUGAUCAUAACCACUGGUGAUAAUAACGAAUAUCCUUGGCCCGUAGUGCAUGGAUAAUUCGAUGAUGUAAUUGGCAAGAUCAUGACCAUUAGUUAACAGUUGAAUGUCUUUGGCCGUAGUGCACUGAAAAACAAUUGAUUGGUAUGAUCAUGACUAUUGGUUUUAUAGUUGAAUGUCUUUGGCCCGUAGUGCAAAGGUAGACAACUGAUUGGUAUGAUCAUUGUUAUUACAUUUGAAUAUCUUUAGCCUUUGGGGUAAGGAUAUUGAGUAAACGUUCUAUUAAGCCUUUGUAGCAAGGAGAAACUGUUGAUUUACAUAAUUAUAAAUACGAAUUGUAGAUUUAACUAUAAUCUUUGGUGGUUUAGGUGAAGACAGGUGAUGAUAGUUCUUUUUGUCUUGUGUAUAACAAAGAAUUGUUGAUGGGUAUUACAGCGAUAAAAUUGAUGAUAAACUUUUUAAAUCAUAGAAGAUAGUAGAUUUUAUGCUCUACUUGACUCUUCCAAUGGAUUGCUUAUUCCGCUGCAAUUGUUGAUCUAAAACUUGUUGUCUAUUAUAUUCUAUCAGUUGUUAUACUGUUGAAGGCUAAGGAUAAUUUAUUCUGCAUUAUCUUAGCCAUAAUAUUUCUUACUAGGCUAGUUGAGCUCACCAUUUCUUUCACUGUUCUCUUCAGGAAAUGAGAAUAUUGCUGGGACGAGUCGGGGAACGGAUUAACGGUCCAGAUGGUUGUUUUAGUAGUCCUCACUAUUCUGCGAAAUAGUGUGAUAAUAAUUGUAAUGAGGACUCCAUUGAGAGUGGAUAUUGUCUGGAAGGCAAUAUUCUUGUUUAAACUCUCAGCUAUGUUUUGUCGUAUUUUAUACGACUGUUGUAUAAUCAAGCUGUAUUUGAAUUUUGUACCAUAUAUCUGACGACUCAAGAUGGGUGAUGUAUACCUGUUUUGGGGGCGUCACAUUUAGUACUUAACAUAUAUUACUAUUCCUUUUUAAAUAACUUUAGGAUUAACAUACACAAUUUUACACAAAAAGUUUCAAUUCUCUAACUUUACACAAAAAGUUGUCAUUUAUCAUUCUCACAUAACUAUUCCCAGUUCAUCAAACUUACCACACUUAUGAGUUCAGUAACUUGCCACAAUUAUAUAAGUGUAUGAACUUAUCCUAGUCAGACCAUUGUCGUCCAUUCGCUGAGGGGUUCAGAACAUUUCAUAUAAUCAUGAGUCAUGAACUUACCAUAAGUAUGAGUUUUAAGAACUCGCCAAUUAGUCUUAAUCUUAUAUUCAUAUAGAAAAUAAAGAUUGCAUUCAUACAAAUAUAUAUAUUUACAUAUGUUUACACAUCAUUCUCAAUAUUAUAACACUUAAUAUCAUAAUCUACUACCAAAAGAUACUACCGCUUAAACUUAAGCUAUCUACCAUUCACUCCCUUCAUCAGUCUUCUUCUUGUUGGGACACUUGUUGAAUCUAUGACCCGUUCUACCACAUGAAAAAUGCUUUCUCAUAUUCCGCAUAUGAAAAUGUAGGGAAAUAUGUCCUUCCUGCUUAUAGCUGAAGCACACAUUCUUCCACAUCAUGCAUUCUCCCACGUGAGUCUUUCCACACUUACUACAGGUUUGCCUCUUCUUCGGGUUUUAAUUUUUAGAAUUUUCGCUGUCUUUUUCCCUUUUUUUCUUAUUC
rnacentral:lncRNA from 1 species